GUACGCGCGCUAGCGCGCUACGGCUUACGCAGUUGAUCGGAUCAGAUAGCCCUUCGGUUGGUUGCCCAACCGCACAUAAAAUUCCGAUCAACAACUUGGAGGUAUGGCUGAGUGGCUUAAGGCAUUGGUUUGCUAAAUCGACAUACAAGAAGAUUGUAUCAUGGGUUCGAAUCCCAUUUCCUCCGGCACGGAAGUGGAACGGGCGGGUGAAAUUACG
rnacentral:tRNA from 1 species